rnacentral:rRNA from 1 species
GUCCACGCUGUAAACGAUGGGCACUAGGUGUCCGGGGUAUUGACCCCCUGGGUGCCGCAGCUAACGCAUUAAGUGCCCCGCCUGGGGAGUACGGUCGCAAAGAUUAAAACUCAAAGGAAUUGACGGGGGCCCGCACAAGCGGUGGAGCAUGUGGUUCAAUUCGACGCAACGCGAAGAACCUUACCUGGGCUAGACAACAGCGGACCGUCCUAGAAAUAGGAUUUUCCCUUCGGGGACCGCUGGUUCAGGUGCUGCAUGGCUGUAGU